GUGUCAGCCGCCGCGGUAAGACAGAGGGUGCAAACGUUGUUCGGAAUUACUGGGCGUAAAGCGUGUGUAGGCGGCCAUGAAAGUCGGAUGUGAAAGCCCCGGGCUCAACCCGGGAAGUGCACCCGAUACUCCGUGGCUCGAGUACUGGAGAGGUUGGUGGAAUUCUCGGUGUAGAGGUGAAAUUCGUAGAUAUCGAGAGGAACACCGGUGGCGAAGGCGGCCAACUGGACAGAUACUGACGCUGAGACACGAAAGCAUGGGGAGCAAACAGGAUUAGAUACCCUGGUAGUCC
rnacentral:rRNA from 1 species